UAAUUUAAUUUAUGAAAUAAUUAAUAUUCUUUAAAUGUGGAGCACGUUUUCACCUGGUUAUCGUCGAAGAUUAAAUUUAAAUUGUUGUUAUUUCUCAAGAAGGAAGUUGGGUUACUGUAGAAACAUACGUUGAAGUACUUUUUUUGAUACAUAGCUACGAAACAGAGGCUGUAUCAAAGUUUUCAUGCUAUAGUGCUGCUAAAAACUAUGGAAAUAUGGGAUGUAAAUUGCUUGGUUGUAUGCACGGGAAUGAUAGAAAAGCCUCUUCUAAAGAAGUUUAUAAAAUUCAUUUAUUAUUAUAAUAUGUUUUUCUUUAUCAAUUUGUUUCCAAAAUAGCUCCUGUAUUUAAUGAUUAUAUGUCUAAACCUUUUAUUUUUGUU
rnacentral:lncRNA from 1 species